rnacentral:lncRNA from 1 species
AUGGGCUUCUGGCAAUAUUAUGUCUGUUUCAGGUUUUUAGGUGCACUGCACAGUUUGGAAACUGAGUUAUACGGUGGCCUAAGCCAUAGACAAGCACUGCCGAGUGACCAACUAUUGAAUCUUGGAAAACUUAAUGCUUCCUAACAAAGCACAACCAGUGACAAAAUCAUCUCACUGGAAUAAGUCUAAUGUCUCACAUUAAGCAGUACAUUUAUUUCCUUUGUUAAGCCAUGUGAAUUUUAUGAAACUUCCAUGAUUUUUGAGAUGGUAAAUACAGGAAAAUCUGAUCGUGAUCUGAAGGUGGGUGCUUAGAAAGGGGAAGAUAAAAUGUCAGGGUGGUUUUUGUGUUGGUUGCUGUUCAGGGUAUAACCUUUGUAAAGAUUUUAGGUAAAAGUUAUGUUCAUCAUUAUUUUAUGUCAUUCUUGUUAGCAGCUUAACUCUAGUAAUUUCAGGUUGAACACAACUUUAAUAUAAGGUAUAGAAAACGAUCAGGAAAAUUUGCCAAUAAAAUUCCAGUUCUAAAGAAAAUAUUGUACA